ensembl:lncRNA
CACUUAUGUCUUUCCUAAUGUUCCUUCUCCUUUUAAAGAUGUGUUAAUAACAAUUAACUUUGCAUAUUUUUCAGUAAUAGUUGAAUAUGCAUCAAUAUGCAGAUCUUAUUGUGGAAGUUUUCAGCUUUUUGUCAGAUUUUUAUACAAAGCUUUUCUUCAUGGUGUUUCUGUCUUUGACGUCAGGAUCGAGCAGGACCUUUUCCAACCCACUGUCUUUUAGGGACACAUGGUUUUCCUCUUUUUACAGUUGAAUUUUUCUCAUCUCUACCUUUGUUUUCGUGCCGUCACCAUCUCGGUUACUAAGAAGUGAAAUGCAAAAGACAGAUUUCAAAUUGCGGUCUCCGCAAUUCCCCCCAGAAAAUGAUCAAACGUAAAAUAUUCCCCCAGCUGAUUGGAAGGCUCCUGCAGGUAAAGUGUCACACAGCAGCGCUCUUUGCAGUCUGGAUGCAUCCAGGAUUUAUGAGCGGACACACAUAGAUCCAACAAGCAGCGUGCGAUGCGUACGAUGCAGCGGAGGAGUCGGCACACGGUCUCCGUAAUGUAACACACAUCGCGCCCGGUGAGUCAGCGCGUGAUCAAUCUUGUUUUUCCUUUCUCGGCGCCGGCGGCUCUCAGAAUUAACUCAGUCACACGGAGAUGUGUAAACGGGGAGAACGAGAUGGAUUUCAGCCGGAGAGGAGAUUUGCACACCGGCCAAAAUCAAUUUACAAUGCAAAGUGGACUUUAAAAGUUGCUGUGGUAUCUGGAAAAUAAUGAUUCGAUU